rnacentral:rRNA from 1 species
CAACUCGACUACAUGAAGCUGGAAUCGCUAGUAAUCGCAGAUCAGAAUGCUGCGGUGAAUACGUUCCCGGGUCUUGUACACACCGCCCGUCACACCAUGGGAGCCUGGAAUGCCCGAAGUCAGCGGCCCAACCGGAAGGAGGGAGCUGCCGAAGGCAGGCCCGGUGACUGGGGUGAAGUCGUAACAAGGUAGC